GAUCAUGGCUCAGGAUGAACGCUAGCUACAGGCUUAACACAUGCAAGUCGAGGGGAAACGACAUCGAAAGCUUGCUUUUGAUGGGCGUCGACCGGCGCACGGGUGAGUAACGCGUAUCCAACCUGCCCACCACUUGGGGAUAACCUUGCGAAAGUAAGACUAAUACCCAAUGACGUCUCUAGAAGACAUCUGAAAGGGAUUAAAGAUUUAUCGGUGAUGGAUGGGGAUGCGUCUGAUUAGCUUGUUGGCGGGGUAACGGCCCACCAAGGCGACGAUCAGUAGGGGUUCUGAGAGGAAGGUCCCCCACAUUGGAACUGAGACACGGUCCAAACUCCUACGGGAGGCAGCAGUGAGGAAUAUUGGUCAAUGGGCGAGAGCCUGAACCAGCCAAGUAGCGUGCAGGAUGACGGCCCUAUGGGUUGUAAACUGCUUUUAUAAGGGAAUAAAGUGAGAGUCGUGACUCUUUUUGCAUGUACCUUAUGAAUAAGGACCGGCUAAUUCCGUG
rnacentral:rRNA from 1 species